UGUCCUCGCGCGCGGAAUGCGCUUGACCCUCCUAGCUUAGAGUCACUCAAAAGGGGCGUGUCCUAAUCACCCACUCGCCAGCGAGUUCGAAGUCCACCAAAACAAAGUUGAACAAACAAGACGAAGGUUGGCGAUAUGGAGCAGCGGGCGGACGAAAAGAACGAGAAGAAGAUUCUGUGCGUGGGGCUCGUGUGUCUGGACAUCAUCAGCGUGGUGGACGAAUUUCCCCGAGAAGAUUCCGACAGCAGGUGUGUGUCGCAGCGAUGGCAGCGAGGCGGCAACGCGUCCAAUUCGUGCACAGUUUUAUCACUUCUGGGAUCGUCCUGCGCAUUCAUGGGCUCGCUUUGCGCUGGACCUGCGGCCAGUUUCAUCGUUGAAGACUUCUCCCGUCGGGCCAUCGACAUUUCGCGGCUGGCGUGGCAGCCGAGCGGCCAGACGCCGAGCGCAUGCUGCGUGGUUUGCCCGUCCAGCGGUUCUCGCACCGUCCUGCUAGCCGACACCAACAUCCCAGACGUGACGAGCGAAGACUUCAAUGCGGUGGACUUGAGCGCCUUCAAGUGGAUCCACUGGGAGGCGCGCGACCCGGACGAGCAGCUGAAGAUGAUGGGGAGGGUGGCGCGGUACAAUGCCGCGUUGCCGCGGCAACAGAAGAUCACCAUCUCCGUGGAGAUCGAGAAGCCCAGGGAGGAACUUUAUCGGCUCUUCUCGCACGCCGACGUGGUCGGUCGCAAGUAUCUGCAAUACUGCCUUCACGUUAAGUUAUUCCCCCAAAAAGUGACAUUUUUAAAGGGAAAACAUGUCCGAGUACAAGAUUCAAGUCACAAAAGAAUUCAUCCUAAGAGGAAAAAACGUGCAUUUUUUGGAGAAGAAUCAGUUGUGAUUCAAGUCGCAUUUCUUUAGAGUCCUAUGAAGUAUUUAUGAUAUCAGAGUCAUCAAAAUAUUUUGUCGUAAUUAUGAUGGGAACAAAUUGACCUUUUUUUCAGAAAAAUACGUCAUUGUUUUUUCUCCAAGAAAAUGUUUGCUUUGAGAAUAAAGUACGAAUAAAGUACGGCCACAACUCCGGUCGGCCGCCUCGGCAAUGGAGGCGCCGAACUCGAUGUCCCCCGACUAAAGUUCUGUCGGAGGUGGAGUUGAAACUCCUUCUGACGGGGGAUUCCGCCAGACGUUCCCAGCGGACCCUCACUAUACGUUUGGGCCGACGUCUUCCCCCGCCAUCGGAGCCAACGGUGAUCGGUUGACAGCUCCGCCCCUCUCUUCACCCGAGUGUCCGAGACAUGCGGCCGCAAGUCCGAUGACACGACCGCAAAGUCGAUCAUCGAACGGCGACCGAGGGUGUCCUCGGAAUCAGAAUCAGAAUCAGAAUCAUCUUGAUUUGCCAACUAUGUCCAAAACACACAAGGAAUUUGUCUCCGGUCGUCGGAGCCGCUCGAGUACGACAGACGGUCAAUUGACAGAACACUUUGGAGACAGAAAGAAGACAUUGACAAAAAACAAUUGUGCAAAAAGAUGCAGAGUCCUCGAGCACUUCGAAUGACUCAUAUUGCAAUAGUCCGGUGCAAUGACCAUCGUGCAAAGAGCGCCGAGACUUCAAGGAGCGGAUGCGGUUUAAAGUGACGAGUCGUGCGAUCAUCUGGGACAAUGUCGGUUGUGCAAAUGUUGCAGAUGCGACUCUGGCACGAGUGGCCAGUAUAUGCAAAUAGUGCAGCGUGGCGAGACAACUGCCGUGAGUGCACGAGUCAUACGUCAUUGGCCCCACAGAAAUGUGACAACGAACUCAAGUCAAAAAAUUGCCAGCUUGUUGUCAUGGAAUUAGAGGUUAGGUGGUUAAGAAGUUGAUCUGGUGCCAAGUGCGCGUGUGGACACCCUUAUGCUUGAACACGGUGUUCGUUAUGGACAAUCCGUGACGAGCACAGAAGUCCAAUAACAGAAGACCGCUCGGGUUCUGAUCGGGGGGGCCGUUCCUCCCAAUCACGCCCUUCCAGGUCUCACUGUCAUUGCCCACGUGAGCAUUGAAGUCCCCCAGCAGAACGACGGAGUCCCCAGCGGGAGCGCUCUCCAGCACCCCCUCCGAGGACUCCAAAAAGGGUGGGUACUCUGAACUGCUGUUUGGUGCAUAGGCACAAACAACAGUCAGGACCCGUCCCCCCCACCCGAAGGCGGAGGGAGGCUACCCUCUCGUCCACCGGGGUGAACCCCGACGUACGGGCGCCGAGCCGGGGGACCAAUAGCUAUACUCGCACCUGCUCGGCGCCUCUCACCGUGGGCGACUCCAGAGCGGAAGAGAGUCCGACCCCUCUCGAGAGGACCGGUACCGGAACCCGAGCCGUGCGUGGAGGCGAGUCCGACUAUAUCUAGUCGGAACUUCUCGACCUCGCACACCGGCUCGGGCUCCUUCCCUGCCACAGAGGUGACGUUCCACGUCCCUAGAGCCAGCUUCUGUAGCCGGGGAUCGGAUCGCCGAGGUCCCCGCCUUCGGCCGCCGCCCGGCUCGGACUGCACCCGACCCCUAUGGCCCCUCCCGCAGGCGGUGAGCCCGCGGGAAGGGGGACCCGUGGGGCCCGGCCACCACUGGGCGACCCUGCCAGGGGCAUCAAGCCCCAGACAAUUUAGCUCCUCGGAUUAUUGGGACCCAAACCCCUCCAGCACGAUAAGGUGUUCGUGAGCAAAGACGUCGCUCGGCAGCUGGGCUUCAACUCGCCGCAGAACGCGCUGCGAGGACUCCGAGG